rnacentral:misc_RNA from 1 species
UUUCCGUAGGUGAACCUGCGGAGGGAUCAUUCAAAAUAAGUAAUUUUUGGCACUUCUUAAAGAAUCUAUAUCGACUAUAUGUCGAAGGUUCUGAGACCCUCUAUCGUUCUCUUUUACAUCACGCCUGCGGGAACCUCUACAACUGACCAACAUCCCUUCUCACUUAUUUUUCUGACCAUUUGUUAUCACGAAUCAACUUAAUUCUAAAAUACAACUUUCAACAACGGAUCUCUUGGCUCUC